UACGGAGGGUGCAAGCGUUGUCCGGAAUCACUGGGCGUAAAGGGCGCGUAGGCGGCUCAUGAAGGCUGUGGUGAAAGUCCGGGGCUCAACCUCGGAUCGGCCGUGGCGACUCGUGGGCUGGAGCACUGUAGAGGCAGGUGGAAUUCCGGGUGUAGCGGUGAAAUGCGUAGAGAUGUGGAGGAACACCAGUGGCGAAGGCGACUCUUUGGCCUGUAACUGACGCUGAGGCGCGAAAGCGUGGGGAGCAAACAGG
rnacentral:rRNA from 1 species